rnacentral:rRNA from 1 species
AACGUAGGAGGCAAACGUUAUCCGGAGUUACUGGGCGUAAAGGGCGUGUGGGCGGUUUGUUAAGUCUGGCGUGAAAGCUCUCGGCUAAACCGGGAGAGGUCGUUGGAUACUGGCAAACUAGAGGACGGUAGAGGCGUGUGGAAUUCCGGGUGUAGUGGUGAAAUGCGUAGAGAUCCGGAGGAACACCAGUGGCGAAGGCGACACGCUGGGCCGUACCUGACGCUAAAGCGCGACAGCAUGGGGAGCAAACGGG